rnacentral:rRNA from 1 species
GAUGAACGCUAGCUACAGGCUUAACACAUGCAAGUCGAGGGACCGGCGCACGGGUGAGUAACACGUAACCAACCUGCACGUUACUCGGGGAUAGCCUUUAGAAAGAAAGAUUACUACCAGAUGUAAAGGAUGGGGAUGCGUUCCAUUAGGUUGUUGGUGAGGUAACGGCUCACAAAGCGUUCGAUGGAUAGGGGUUCUGAGAGGAAGGUCCCCCACAUUGGAACUGAGACACGGUCCAAACUCCUACGGGAGGCAGCAGUGAGGAAUAUUGGUCAAUGGGCGUUAGCCUGAACCAGCCAAGUAGCGUGAAGGAUGAAGGCUUAUGGGUCGUAAACUUCUUUUAUAUAAGAAUAUGUAUUAUAUGAAUAAGGAUCGGCUAACUCCGUGCCAGCCGCCGCGGUAAUAC